AUUGAACGCUGGCGGAAUGCUUUACACAUGCAAGUCGAACGGCAGCACGGGGGCAACCCUGGUGGCGAGUGGCGAACGGGUGAGUAAUACAUCGGAACGUGCCCAGUCGUGGGGGAUAACGUAGCGAAAGCUACGCUAAUACCGCAUAUGAACUGAGGUUGAAAGCGGGGGAUCGCAAGACCUCGCGCGAUUGGAGCGGCCGAUGGCAGAUUAGGUAGUUGGUGGGGUAAAGGCUCACCAAGCCGACGAUCUGUAGCUGGUCUGAGAGGACGACCAGCCACACUGGGACUGAGACACGGCCCAGACUCCUACGGGAGGCAGCAGUGGGGAAUUUUGGACAAUGGGCGCAAGCCUGAUCCAGCCAUUCCGCGUGCAGGAUGAAGGCCCUCGGGUUGUAAACUGCUUUUGUACGGAACGAAACGGCCUGGGUUAAUACCUCGGGCUAAUGACGGUACCGUAAGAAUAAGCACCGGCUAACUACGUGCCAGCCGCCGCGGUAAUAC
rnacentral:rRNA from 1 species